GAUGAACGCUGGCGGCGUGCCUAAUACAUGCAAGUCGAGCGAACAGAUAAGGAGCUUGCUCCUUUGACGUUAGCGGCGGACGGGUGAGUAACACGUGGGUAACCUACCUAUAAGACUGGGAUAACUUCGGGAAACCGGAGCUAAUACCGGAGAAUAUUUCGAACCGCAUGGUUCGAUAGUGAAAGAUGGCUUUGCUAUCACUUAUAGAUGGACCCGCGCCGGAUUAGCUAGUUGGUAAGGUAACGGCUUACCAAGGCGACGAUCCGUAGCCGACCUGAGAGGAUGAUCGGCCACACUGGAACUGAGGCACGGUCCAGACUCCUACGGGAGGCAGCAGUAGGGAAUCUUCCGCAAUGGGCGAAAGCCUGACGGAGCAACGCCGCGUGAGUGAUGAAGGUCUUCGGAUCGUAAAACUCUGUUAUUAGGGAAGAACAUACGUGUAAGUAACUGUGCACGUCUUGACGGUACCUAAUCAGAAAGCCCCGGCUAACUACGUG
rnacentral:rRNA from 1 species